CAGAGGAGCCAAGCGUUGUCCGGAUUGACUGGGCGUAAAGCGCACGCAGGCGGAUGUGCGCGUGGGGUGUGAAAUCUGGCCGCUUAACGGCCAGGCGCCAUCCCAUACGGCACGUCUGGAGUGAUGCAGAGGUCGGUGGAAUUGCCGGUGUAGUGGUGAAAUGCGUAGAGAUCGGCAGGAACACCCAGGGGGAAACCAGCCGACUGGGCAUCGACUGACGCUGAGGUGCGAGAGCGUGGGGAGCGAACCGGAUUAGAUACCCGGGUAGUCCACGCCGUAAACGAUGGCCACUCGGCCUUUGGGGGCGGAAUCUCCGUCCUUGGGGGCCUUAGCAAACGCGGGAAGUGGCCCGCCUGGGAACUACGAGCGCAAGCUUA
rnacentral:rRNA from 1 species